rnacentral:lncRNA from 1 species
UUUACUCUAAAAGUUUAAACUUUUAGAACCUUAAUAGAACCUUAAACUCCCAAAUUGUUAAGUCUAGAGAGAAUGCUCUGCGGAGACAGACUUCUGUGGAUUCCUGAUCUCCUCUGGAUACUUACUUAAUGAACUGUGUGAAUAUUUUAUAUAAUGAUCUUGUAAACACAUUUGAACAGUGAGGGAAAAGUCAAUAACUAUUAUAGUGACUCAUUGGCUUUCAAUUUUAUAUUAAAAACCUUUUAAAUGCAUAUAAGUACUUUAUAGUUUUAAUCAUAGCAUGGAUCUAGUUUAGUAUGCUGGCCUUUUCAAUCAACACAUAAUUAGCAGCAGAAUACUGUUUUGGUUUUAAAAUGAACCUUGUAAUGAUA